rnacentral:rRNA from 1 species
UGGGGAAUAUUGCACAAUGGGCGCAAGCCUGAUGCAGCCAUGCCGCGUGUAUGAAGAAGGCCUUCGGGUUGUAAAGUACUUUCAGUCGGGAGGAAGGUGGUAAGGUUAAUAACCUUGGCAAUUGACGUUACCGACAGAAGAAGCACCGGCUAACUCCGUGCCAGCAGCCGCGGUAAUACGGAGGGUGCAAGCGUUAAUCGGAAUUACUGGGCGUAAAGCGCACGCAGGCGGUUGAUUGAGUCAGAUGUGAAAUCCUCGGGCUCAACCUGGGAACUGCAUCUGAUACUGGCAAGCUUGAGUCUCGUAGAGGGGGGUAGAAUUCCAGGUGUAGCGGUGAAAUGCGUAGAGAUCUGGAGGAAUACCGGUGGCGAAGGCGGCCCCCUGGACAAAGACUGACGCUCAGGUGCGAAAGCGUGGGGAGCAAACAGG